UAAACUUUUUUUAUUUACCGUCUAGACUCUAGAACACAGACUUUCUUUAUUUUACAGUGCUCGAGCGGCUGCGCUGUCAGACCACUCUCUGUUUGAUUGACCCUUAAAUGAUUUGUGUAAAUGCUGCAAUAAUUUGCACAAUUUUUAAAGUGCAAGUUAAAAUACAAAAAAUAAAUGGCUGGGCAAGAAAUUAGAUGGAAAACAUUAAGACAUAUCAACUAUUGCUGUACAAAACAAACAUCUUUAAGACAUACUAGUAUUCAUCAAAGUAAUAUUUCAAUAAAUGUCAUGUGCACUUACAGUCCAAGAAAUUCAACUAAAUUUGUAAGGCGAAUGUAAAAAUUCAAAAAAUAAAAAACUUGGGAAGAAUAAUUUGACAUUUUGAUAGAUUGUAUUCAAUUAUUACCGUCAUUUUAAUAUUUGCUGUGCAAAACUAACUUCUUCAAAUACUACUAUUUUUCAGAGUAUAACAGUAAUAAAUAAUAUAGUUAUAGCCCGAGGCACGGAAUUCUUUAUGAAUUUUUUUUUAAGAUGUAAAAUUAAAUGGAAAAAAUUUGGAGAAGGCUUAUGUGGCAAAGUAUUUAAAUACUCAAGUGGAAAUCAAUAUACUAUUGUUAAAGUCAUUCCUAUAAAAGGUCAAGUAAAUAAUAAUGAGCAACAGAAGAGCAUAUUUGAAGUAUACAGUGAAAUUGUAAUAGCUACAGAGUUGAAUAAGUUGUGGAACAAAAUUAAUUUGAAUCAAACAUGUUAAUUUUGUAAACUCUAAUGUGUUAGCUGUGUUAAAGAAAAAUAUCUUAGCAUUUUAAUUAAUAACUGGCAACAAUAUGAUAAUGAUAAAAGAUUCGGUCAAGAUUGAAAACAUCUCACAGUGAAACAACCAAUGAAGUGUCGAAAAAUAUAUAAAAUAUGCACUAGUUCAAGCUUCAUCUAUUAUUAUAAAAAAGAAACUAAUAUUUCAUAAUUGUAAUACUUAAUUCAAUUUGUGUAAUAAAAAAAACAUACAUAAUAAUGUAAAAAUUUUCAAUUUUAAUUUGUUAUAAUACCUAUUUAACUGUAAUAGUAAAAUAUGUACCGUUAUGUACAGUUUUAGGGAGGGGGAACAAGUUAAAAAAUUUUCGAAAUAGCUUAUUAAAUGUUUUUUUGUUUUUCUCUUACUCCUAGAUUCUAUAAAAAUGUUGAACAAAUUUAAAUUAUUACCCCACAGAUGUUGCUGAAGAGUAUAUAAAAAUUAUCUCAUUCAGGCCCCAUUCAACAUUAAAAAAAAUAAAUAUACAGUACAAAUACAACUAAUAAAUAAUUUUUUAUAACAUCUUUUUAACCAAAAAAAAAAAGAUUUAAAUUAUAUAUUUCUUAAACAAUUUUGAAUAAAUAAUAUGCAUAUGUUUAUGUUAGGUGCAUUCACUAAUUACAUUUCUUCACAAAUCA